CAGACUCACAGGGUUUGCUGAGGAGAGACCUGUGGGAGGACAGGUGAUGGACAUGUGAUAUUUGGAGAGAGUUUAAGAGAGACUCAAUGGACAGUGACAGGAAGCUUGCGUGGCCUGGCGGUUUCUGCUGGAUCUCGCAGGUUUGCUACCCUGACACUACUGAACUGGACUGCUGACAAGUGGAGAUUGGACUCCCCCCGCCCCCAAACUACUUCUAAACAGAUGAGUCAUCUGUUGAGGAGACAGGGGAGGACAUGUUGGUUCUCCUCUCCCCCAGCUCAGCGGGGAUCUCAGUAUCCGCUGAUUAUUCCUGUGUGAAAUCAUCAACUGUGUCGACGGCCAG
rnacentral:lncRNA from 1 species